rnacentral:rRNA from 1 species
UACGUAGGGUGCAAGCGUUGUCCGGAAUUAUUGGGCGUAAAGCGUGCGCAGGCGGCUUUGCAAGACAGAUGUGAAAUCCCCGGGCUUAACCUGGGAACUGCAUUUGUGACUGCAUCGCUGGAGUGCGGCAGAGGGGGAUGGAAUUCCGCGUGUAGCAGUGAAAUGCGUAGAUAUCGGGAGGAACACCAGUGGCGAAGGCGACUACCUGGCCUGUUCUUGACGCUGAGGCGCGAAAGCUAGGGGAGCAACGGGG